rnacentral:rRNA from 1 species
ACUCCUACGGGAGGCAGCAGUAGGGGAAUCUUCCACAAUGGGCGGACCAAGCCUGAUGGAGCAACACCGCGUGAGUGAAGAAGGGUUCGGCUCGUAAAGCUCUGUUGUUAAAGAAGAACACGUAUGAGAGUAACUGUUCAUACGUUGACGGUAUUUAACCAGAAAGUCACGGCUAACUACGUGCCAGCAGCCGCGGUAAUACGUAGGUGGCAAGCGUUAUCCGGAUUUAUUGGGCGUAAAGAGAGUGCAGGCGGUUUUCUAAGUCUGAUGUGAAAGCCUUGGCUUAACCGGAGAAGUGCAUCGGAAACUGGAUAACUUGAGUGCAGAAGAGGGUAGUGGAACUCCAUGUGUAGCGGUGGAAUGCGUAGAUAUAUGGAAGAACACCAGUGGCGAAGGCGGCUACCUGGUCUGCAACUGACGCUGAGACUCGAAAGCAUGGGUAGCGAACAGGAUUAGAUACCCUGGUAGGAUAGCG